rnacentral:lncRNA from 1 species
AACAGGACAUAAUUGGAGGAACUGUUUAUUUUAUCAAGGCUUUGACUGGAAUGAUAUGCUUUCCUUUAAAGAAUUAAACUUGACUUAUAGAGCCAAUAAAAGCACCUUGAGAAAACUGGCCUCAUACCUUGUCUACACAGCCCCUGUACAGCAUUCCUGACCUGUGUUUGAACUGAAUUCUAUUUUUUCCCGGCUACCAGUCUCCAAAACAACAUUUUCAAUUGUUUGCCUUCUCUCUUUUCUCCUCCCCUGCCCCACUUUUCCUAAUUUGAAAUCACUGAAAACUAAGCUGUGCUUUCUUAAAGACCUGCAAACUGAAGCUAGACAACAAAUUUCCAAAGCAAAUAACAGCAACAUAUUUACAUACAUAAGCCACUUUCAUACCUGCCUACUGAUGUACGGACUUCAGAGUAAUAUGGCCUUUAUCAGUUUUCCAGGAUUGUUCUUUUUUGUUUGUUGUUUUCUCCCUUCCUCCCUCUAUUUUCUCUUUCUGGGAUAUGAAACUCCUGCUAAAAAUGAGUUUUCCUAAUAACAUGAGACCUACCUGUCUAGGAAUAAACCAUCCUAACAAUGAGAAAUCACAGGAAACCUGAGACCGGAGACUCAUUUUCUUCUAAAAUGCCCUCUCUGAAAGAUUUCAAAAAGAAAAGGAGGAAAUAUGAAGGGAAAAUAAAUCUUGGGACCCUCAAAUCACUAUGCUACAGGGAAAGGUCAAGCUGGGAACUGCUUAGGGCAAACCUGCCUCCUAUUCUAUUCAGGGUCAUCCCUCUGCACACUGAGAUAAAUGCACAUCUGACUGUCUCCUUUGGAAAUGCUAACAGAAACUCAAAAGAAUGCAACCAGUUUGUCUCUCACCUACCUAUGACCUGGAAACGGAAAUCCCCUCCCCGUUUUGAAUUGUCCCUGCCUUUCCAGACUGAACCAAUGUACAACUUACCCAUAUGGAUUGAUAUCUCACGUCUCCCUAAAAUGUGUAAAAGCAAGCUAUGCUCCCACCACCUUGGGCGCAUGUUGUCAGGACCUCCUGAGGCUGGGUCACAGGUGUGCAUCCUUAACUUUGGCAAAGUAAACUUCUUAAAUUGACUGAGACCUGUCUCAGAUAUUUUGUGUUCAUAAGGAAUUAUUGUUAAGUUUUCUGGAUCUGGUCAUAAAAUUGUGUUUGUGUUAUGGUUAUUCAAUUUGUCUAUGUUAGAGAUUUUUCCUAAAGAAUUUACAAGUAAAAGGAUAUUUUAUCCUUGAUUGCUUUAAAAUACUCUAGUAAAUGAACAAAAAGUGGUGGGGAGGAUAGAGUAUAACUAAGAGCAACAGAAUGUUGCUCACUGUUGAAAUGGAGUGAUAGGUGCAUGGACACUUCUUAUACCAUUCUCUCUGCUUUGUGUGUGUUUGACAUUUUCCAUAAUAAAAAGGUAUUAAUUCCCUCAUUCCUGUCUCCCCAAGUGAAGCUUUGAGCUAAAAAGGUCAAGUGUUAUAUCAAAUAAAAAUUUUAAUAUAAAUUA